CUCCGUCCUCUCUUUCACCCAAUUCCACCGUCCGGCCUCUUCUCGGCGGCGUGCCAUCAUCAAGCAAACCUUCGCAUGAUUCUCUCUCCAUCCUUGGUCACGGUUCAACCAUGCAGCAACUCUUUGAGAAGAUCGGUAAAGGAGCUUGACGAUCCCAAUUCCGAUCAAUUUCUCUAUCUCCGGCCUACCCAUGACUUGAAUGUGUUCCUCCAGUGCUUUCUGCAAAUUCCAGCGAGACUGCAACCUUACGGCUUCGACUCCAGCUUCUAAUUGUAAGCUAUACCUUCCCCAACAUCUUUAACCUUUCAAUGAUUCCAAUUUCAUAAAUUUGAGUUAAAUCGGGCUUUUUCCUCUUUCUGCAUAUUCAUGUUUUCUGCCGCCGUGAACCACCGUCAUCGACGACUCUCCGGCAACGUUUGAGAAAAGAGGAGGACCUCACUAAGCCUUGCAUAUCAGUUGAGUUUUGGAGCAGCAUGAAUAUUUUCUCAAUAAGAGAGAUGCAAUUGCUCUCUUUCUGAUCACUUGGGAAAUCACAUUAGAGUUGAGGAGCAGAAUGUACAUUUCAAUAUUAGAAGCUUCAAGGGACAUGGAAAAGCUACUGUAUUGGGUAUUCAUCUUCUAGAACGAAAUUGAAGUUGAAUGGUAAUAUUGGAUGACGUCUGAGACUUAGGAGACAUAAGGAGUACGUUUGUGGACCUCCGUUUGAGUUGAAAGUCGACAGAAGCUUGGAGGUUUAUACAAAGCAAUUGAGGAAUUCCAGCAAGCAUUUGGAACUUCACACAACGUUUGCAAGAUUCUGGCAUGGCCAUUGAAGGAAAAGGCUACAAUCGUGUUAUUUCGGAUUCUGGACUUGGCAUUUCAUUUCUAUAGCGCUGCUCGGGGAUUAUAUCAAGUUAUAAGGAUUGCUCAGCUUGGAGCUUACGUUUUGGAUUUGGGGAUUUCUGCACUUCAAUCUAGACACGGGCACGGCGACACGACACGGCGCGACACGGCGCGACACGGCGACACAGCAAAUAUGAAAAACUCUUCUUUCGACACGGCUCCGACACGGCAAAUAAAAAAUAUUUAUAUAUAUUUUUAAUACAUAAAAUAA